rfam:Gossypium raimondii Chr08_contig_800, whole genome shotgun sequence.
UAUUAAAAAAUUUAUCAAUUUUUAUUAUUAAAAACUAGCGUGACAGAUAGAAUAACUAGACAGUUACACAUAACGUGCAACGUAUAUCUUAUUCUGACUUACAGGGAUCGGUUUUUAACAGUAGAAAUGGAUAGAAUUUUUAACA